rnacentral:rRNA from 1 species
AGGCAGCAGUGGGGAAUAUUGGACAAUGGGCGAAAGCCUGAUCCAGCCAUGCCGCGUGUGUGAAGAAGGUCUUCGGAUUGUAAAGCACUUUAAGUUGGGAGGAAGGGUAGUAACUUAAUACGUUGCUACUUUGACGUUACCGACAGAAUAAGCACCGGCUAACUUCGUGCCAGCAGCCGCGGUAAUACGAAGGGUGCAAGCGUUAAUCGGAAUUACUGGGCGUAAAGCGCGCGUAGGUGGUUCAGUAAGUUGGAAGUGAAAUCCCCGGGCUCAACCUGGGAACUGCUUUCAAAACUGCUGAGCUAGAGUACGGUAGAGGGUGGUGGAAUUUCCUGUGUAGCGGUGAAAUGCGUAGAUAUAGGAAGGAACACCAGUGGCGAAGGCGACCACCUGGACUGAUACUGACGCUGAGGUGCGAAAGCGUGGGGAGCAAACAGGAUUAGACACCCUGGUAGUCCACGCCGUAAACGAUGUCAACUAGCCGUUGGGGAGUCUUGAACUCUUAGUGGCGCAGCUAACGCAUUAAGUUGACCGCCUGGGGAGUACGGCCGC